rnacentral:rRNA from 1 species
UACGGAGGAUGCAAGCGUUAUCCGGAAUGAUUGGGCGUAAAGCGUCCGCAGGUGGCAAUGUCAGUCUGCUGUCAAAGCGUCUGGCUCAACCAGAUAAAGGCAGUGGAAACUACAUAGCUAGAGUAAGGUAGGGGUAGAGGGAAUUCCUGGUGUAGCGGUGAAAUGCGUAGAGAUCAGGAAGAACACCGGUGGCGAAAGCGCUCUGCUGGACCUUAACUGACACUGAGGGACGAAAGCUAGGGGAGCGAAUGGG